UCGUAAUGCUAGAGCACUUUUUCAAUGUGCUCCCCAACGACAAGGUGACGACAUAUUCGUAUGUCAAUCCAUAUCAACUUUCGAUGCCAUUUACUGCACCUACCAUGGUGACCACGGGUAACGGGGAAUCAGGGUUUGAUUCCGUACAGGGACCCAGACAAAUUGCUACCACAUGCAAGGAAGGCAGCAGGCGUGCAAAUGACCCACUCUCGAUGCGGGGAGGUAGUGACGA